AGUCUCGGGUUUAUAAUUUGAGAGCAUAACCCCAGCCCAGCCCAGCAGUCCCGGGUUGGUCCCGACACACGAGUUUGUCGCAGCGUUCCCAGGAUCUGAGCCACCUGGGAAGGACUUUGAUCACACGAGUUGCUUUAGCGCAGUCUCUCUGUCUUCCCGACUGAGCUCAGGGAAGGACCGAGCCUCACACCCAUGGAAGGAACUAGAAGACUAAUUACAACUUGAAGAAAACCCUAAUUAAAGGAGGAUCACCACGGCUGAGCCAGUCCGUUUGCAGUAGCUCAUAACUGCAUCAAGAACACCAAGAGCUGAAACACCAUCCAUGGCUGGGAGGGAAAUCUGCUUUGGAGGGACAAAUUUAUAAGUGGUGAUGGGGAUAAUUGUCUACUACCCCAUCCUGCCAGGAGCAUUGCCAAGAUGUGGAGCUCGGCUGUGGGAACUGUCAGGAGGAAAAGUAACCAUGUCAUCACUGACCUCUCCCUAGGAAAACCCAUGCAAAUGCAGACGAUGUCGAAGACUU
rnacentral:lncRNA from 1 species